GAGGAUAUAGCUCAAGUGGUAGAGCGCAUGCUUAGCAAGCACAGGGUCCUGGGUUCAAUUCCCAGUACCUCU
rnacentral:tRNA from 1 species